rnacentral:misc_RNA from 1 species
CCUGAUCUCUGAUAGUAUCUACAUCCUUUGGUUUCCGUCGAAUCGGGACAGUAAAGAUAUAGAGGAUAGUGAGAACUAUA